UAUGCAUCCCUUUUUGAAUUAAUUUGGCAAUGCUCACUUUCCAGUAUUUGCGUUUUAAAUUUGAAGUUGAGAAUUUAACUUUGUUAAAAGAAUAGCUACUUGAAAAUGAAGUUUAAUUAGACAACGCUUACUCUCUGACAUUUGUUUAUUUUCUUUCAAAAAAAGGAAGAAUUGAUGGUAUUCUUGUUCGAUGAUACCCAGGUUCGAACUAUGAAUGAUUUUUAUGACAUGCUUUCAAAUGUCAGGUUUCAUUCUUGAGAGAUUGUUCUCUUUUGUUCCCUUGUCCAUGUUAUGAUUGAAAUGAUGAAUUUCCUAUAUAAAAAUUCUCUUUCUCCCAAUAACUUUAGUACUAGUUCCUCAUAAUACUAAAGAUUUAGGUAAAUCAAUAGGAUAUAUAUAUAAUUUCUAUUUGCUCACAAUAAUGUUAUGCACUCGCAUCAUAAGUUGCUGUAAUGAUUAUGAGAUUGUUGACAAUGAAAUUUUUAUUGAA